rnacentral:lncRNA from 1 species
CCCCAGAGCAGGUAUGACAUGUUCCUAACACAAAGCUGGGGGAGGAAGUGGUUUGAAUCCCACAUCUUGAUUUACCAAGCGGGGUAGUCACUCUUCGAAGUUUCUUCCUCAGCUUGGGGCCAGCCCAGACUGCAUGUGGUUUCCUCUCACUGUGUGUGCCUGCAUGUGUGUGUGUGUGUGUGUGUGUGUGUGUGUGUGUGUGUGUACAAAUGUGCAUGUGUGUUAGUUAUUUGCCUUUUACUGGCUCCGGGGUUUCUGUCCACCAGAGGAGCCCAGGGCUCUCUCUCAGACCUGCCCAACCUGCCGAGAAGUUCUGGGACCCAGCUGGAUGCCAGUGGACACCCCCGAAUAACACUGGUGAUCAGAAGCCAGACUCUUGGAGAAGAGAUGGAAGCCCCGCUGGCAGGUGUGCUGGGAGCCAGGUGAUUCCCCACAGGGCUCUCUUAUCAGAGAGGCCAUCCUGGGCAGCAACCCUGAAGAAGGACCCACCCUCUGGGGGCUCACACACAUCUGCUCCCAACCCGUGGUCUCCUCACAGAAGUUUCAUCACCUUGGGACGCCUCAGGACACCUCAGGAACCAGAAUCCCUGCUCUGCAACUGGGCAGGGUGCUCCCAGCUCAGGGAGGACUCUGGUAGGACUUGGCACCAGAGCCCAGCUAUAGGUAGUCCUUGUUGUGAGAUGGCCAUCAGCAACAAUAGAAGGUUGAAGUGGAGGCACAAACCCAUCCGAGGUCACAGGCAGUGCUGUGGACCUGACCUGGAUGGGUCUGAGGACUGCCCUGGAGAGCAAAUGUGGGAUGGAGAAGUGAACGGAUGGGAUUAGCCCAGGGAGGGCUCAGGCCUGGGCAAUUUGCCUCUGAUCUGCCAGUCUCCACCUGGGUUUAGAAGGUGGCAUGGUGAUCUGUUUGGAUGGAUUUAGACUUUAUCUCAAGUUCCCUCCAUUUUGAAGCAUCUUCUCUCUCCCUGCAAGAAAAUAGCCAACUGAGGAUGUACCUGGGCCUGAGCUCCAGACUGCAGCACCAGAGUGGGCUCCAGGGCCCCUUUCCUGCACUCACCCCUCGUCCAUCAGCCCCUGCUCACACAGACACCCAUUCCUGGGUUAUCCCCUGCCCAAGCCACUGCAUCCAGCUGCUAGGGAUUCAGAGAUGAGAUGACACUCUUCUCUGAAGAUCUGCACGGCCAUGUGGCAGUACAGCAGGGCCGGCUGGCAGCCCUGGCAUGGGAGGCCUAGGCAGGGAUGGGACUGCAGCGGCCCACGUUAGAACCACUUUCCAGGUGCAGGCUGGAGGACCAUGUCAGGCACCUGGAUGAGCCAGUCACAUGUAGGGCUGAGAGGAUGGGCUGGCUGGGAGAGGUGGCCCCAUUGGCAGGAUCUGGUCCCAGACCUGGAUUGCCCUAUGGAUAAAAGCCAUCUCCAGAGUCUACAGAGGCAGAGAGCAGUCAGUGAGCUGCCCAGGGCUUUCACCAGCCUUAUUUUAGAAAAUCCUCAGAACACCUAGCAAUGGAGGGGCUGCUCACAAUCCCCUGCUUUACUGGUGUGUGACCUGCCCAGGGUCCCAUGGCCCAAAGGUAUGGGGGGCUGGGACUCACAAACACGGUGCUGCUGGUUCCAAAACCAAGGUCUUCCCAGGAUCCUAGAACUAUAAAUAAAGGGUCUAACCUGUGUGUGCCA